UACCUCACUUUGCUACUGCUGUAAUUAAAGAAUAGCAAUCGGUUCAAUUUUAUUUUAUUUUAUUUUAUUUUAUUUUUUUUAAAGAUUUUAUUUAUUUGACAGAGAGAGCACAAGCAGAGGGAGAGAGAGGGAGAAGCAGGCUCCCUGCUGAGCAAGGAGCCCGAUGCAGGACUCUAUCCCAGGACCCUGGGACCAUGACCCGGGCCGAAGGCAGCCGCUUAACCGACUGAGCCACCCAGGCGCCCAAUCGGUUCAAUUUUAAUAAAGCUUCCUGCUUCAUCCUGCACCUGCCUUCUUGAAAGAAAACAAGACAUCAGAUACUUAUUCAAAUAAUGGAAUAGCUGAUCAACUAGGUCUCCACACAAUAAUGCUCAGCAGUAUGAGGCCAAUGUCUAUUUUCAUUGCUGCUGGCUCCUCACUACCUGGAAUGGUCUUGCUGAAUUGACUGGAACCUGAGGAAGUUUUUGGAAGUGAUAGCAUUCUGAGACAGGAUACAGGAUUUCCACAGGUCUGCUAGACUCCCCCAAACUCAAAAACCUUUAAAAUACAUAGAUCAUCCAGUGAAGGCCAUUCACCAGGAAGAAAGUUCUCUGCAGAAUAGGACUCAAUCUUCCACACAGCUGCCUCAGUGCCUGGAGAAGGGAUCCAACCUGAGGACUCACACAUGCGUGCCAAGGGAGGAGGAAGGACGGCUUCAGCAAGUUUUGCUCUGAAUUAAAAUUAUGUUAAAUUGAUAGAUUAAUUUGAACACUGCCACCCCAGCUUUCUUUUGAUGUCCUUUAACAUGGUAAAUGGUUUUCCACCCCCUCACUUUCAAUCUGGUGGUGUCUU